GAAUUUGCAAGUGAUAUGGAUACCGAAAUUUUUAUUUCGCUUCUUUAUUCAGCUGCUGUGGAACAAGUUCGAUGAUAAAAAUUUCUGCAAAGGCGCACGAGGACAUUAUGAAGCAUAUUGCCGUAGACUGUGUGUGAACGAUAAGUUCCUUUAUUAGAAAUCGCUACUAAAUGAGUUCGAUGAUGACAAACAAAUUUCCAAAUGGUUCACCAAGGGAUAAAUUUUGAGCGACUUUAUUGAGCUGAAUGUGAAGUUCAACCUGACCCGGAACGCGAUCGACGAAGAGGUGUUCGCGACCAAACUGUUCGAUCUGUACUCGGUGGUCAAGAUGUUCCGCUGCCCAACGCCGAAGCUUCGGCACUGUCAGAGCGGAAUCAACCAGCUGUUGGCAUAUCUGAUUCGGUCAUUCUUCACCCAGGAUCCG